CCCGGCGGCCGGGUUUCCCAGCGCAACCGCCUCACCCGGCGAUGAGGAAUAUGAUGCGUAGCGAGUGGGUGGCAAUGGUGAAGAUGUAGAGGGCGAGCGCAGGCCCGAAGGCAAUGAAGGCGCAGCCGAAGAACACAGCCGCCGUCAUGGCGACCGCCGAAGCCAAUCCAGGCACCCGGCGGCGACGCAGGGGGCGCACGGCGCAGUCAGACCCCGGCCGGGGCGGGGCGAGGAGCUCCCAGUCAGACCAGGCUUCUGGGCUCUGAGCAGCUCAGGGUCUUGCUGGAGACUCUGGGACCGGAGCUGUGACCUCCCCACGCUGACGGUGCCUCCGCAUCACAUUGCCUUUUCUCUCUCUGCCUCUGUCGUCACAUGGCUUUCUUCUGACUGAUCCUGUGCUCCUCUCAUAAGCACCCUUGAGAUAAUAUUGGGUUCAUCUGGAUAACCCAGGAUAAUCUCCCCAUCUCAAGAUCCUUAACUUGACCACAACUUCAACGUCCCUUUUGGCAUAUACGGAAACAUUCACAGAAUGAGGGCAAUAACAUCUUCCUGUACACUGGAUUGUUGCUGAGGCUUUACUGAGAUUCUAUUUGUAAAGUACUGACCCAGAACCCAGUAAAUGGAAUUCAAGAUGCCAUGAGAGUUUGCAACAGUUGGAAGGCCACAAAGAACUUGCUCCUUAUGUUACACUGACAUGCUGUAUCCAAGUCAAGGCUGCUUCUGGAUGUCCCCUUAUGCGAGCUGGGGCCAGAGACGAUAACCUUCACUCUGGAGAUCAGUUUAAAGACAAAUAUUUCUAAUCUAGCUUUGUAAAUGUAUAUGGCUCUAAAUCUUUCUUGAGAACUAAUUUUCUAGAAAACAGAAAUGCAUCCCAUUAAGUAAUCAAAAUGUUCCCAUUCAUAUUUUUUAUGAAACUCUUUCUAGCAGGUGCUUCUUAAGUUAACAAAACUGGAAAAAGAAAAAUUCUCACCAUUUACUGAACCUAACUGCAUGCUAGGUCCUAUGCUAAAAGCUUUAGUACAUGACUUCAUUAAAUCACCUCACAACAAUCCUCUGCAGAAAAGAGGGGACUGAGACCAAGGAAGUUAAAGAAGUGGAUGAAGUCACCCAGACGGCAAGGAGGGUUCACACUCCACUACCCUGCCUCCCUAAAGAUAACUCAUUUCCUCCUCCUCCUCGUCCUCUUCUUCCUCCUUCUCCUUCUCCUUCUUUUUUAAAAAAUAUUUCAGAGUCACCAUUGGGGCAGUAAGACAUAGUGGUUAAAAACAUAGUUUCUGGAACCAGACUGCCUAUAUUCAAAUCUGGGUUAGUUCUACCACUUACUAGCUGUAUGACCUUGAGAAUCUAUUUCACCAUUCAGUGCCUCAGUUACCUCAUUUGGAAAACAGGAAUAGUAACAGAAUGCACCCAAGAAGUUUUGUAAAGAUCAUAUGAGCCAAUCCACAUAAAAUGUUAAUCCACACAAAAACGGGGCCUGGUAUGUAUAGUAAACACUCAAUAAAUGUUAACUCAUCAUUAAAAGUAAGUGCUAUAAUAAUGAAGCCCCCAGGGACUACUGAGAUUUUUUUACAGCUGUCUGGCCCUACCUUGGGUGGACCGGGACUGAUUUUGCACACCCAUA